rnacentral:tRNA from 1 species
AUUUCUAUAUUUAUAUAGUUUAUGUAAAAACAUUACAUUUUCAUUGUAAAAUUAAAUAUCAUUUUUUUAUAA